rnacentral:rRNA from 1 species
UACGAAGGGGGCUAGCGUUGUUCGGAAUUACUGGGCGUAAAGCGCACGUAGGCGGAUUGUUAAGUCAGGGGUGAAAUCCUGGAGCUCAACUCCAGAACUGCCUUUGAUACUGGAGAGCUUGAGUCCGGAAGAGGUGAGUGGAACUCCGAGUGUAGAGGUGAAAUUCGUAGAUAUUCGGAAGAACACCAGUGGCGAAGGCGGCUCACUGGUCCGGUACUGACGCUGAGGUGCGAAAGCGUGGGGAGCAAACAGG